AGGUGGUGCAUGGCUGUCGUCAGCUCGUGUCGUGAGAUGUUGGGUUAAGUCCCGCAACGAGCGUAACCCUUGUUUUUAGUUGCCAUCAUUCAGUUGGGCACUUUAAAAAGACUGCCGGUGAUAAACCGGAGGAAGGUGAGGACGACGUCAAGUCAGCAUGCCCCUUACACUCUGGGCUACACACGUACUACAAUGGUCGAGACAGAAAGUUGCAAACUUGCAAAAGUAAGCUAAUCUUAUAAACUCGAUCUCAGUUCGGAUUGCAGGCUGCAACUCGCCUGCAUGAAGUUGGAAUCGCUAGUAAUCGCCGGUCAGCUAUACGGCGGUGAAUCCGUUCCCGGGCCUUGUACACACCGCCCGUCACACCAUGGAAGCUAGUCAUACCCAAAGUCGUUACCUUAACCAUUUGGAGGGGGGCGCCUAAGGUAGGGUUAGUGACUGGGGUGAAGUCGUAACAAGGUAGCCGUACUGGAAGGUGCGGCUGGAUCACCUCCU
rnacentral:rRNA from 1 species